UCCUCAGCAAGUUGCUCACUCAAAGAAAGGAGGUGGAGAAGGCAGAGGAGAGGAGAGAAGAGAUGGAAGGAGGCCACCUGUGAAAACAGAACGUUCUAAGUGUCAUCCUCCAAGAAAAGAAAACAAAGGCUUAUGGGCAUUGGGGACAAUGCUUCCUGCCCUGCUGUCCAUCCUCAGCCUCACCAGGCCUAGUAAAUAGACAAGCUUGGAAACAGCGCUGUUUGUUUCCAAAGAAAUGACAUCAGUGCAAAGAAGGACGUCUUGGUUCCCCUUCUGCCAUGAUUGUAAGUUUCCUGAGGCCUUCCCAGCCAUGUGGAACUGUGAGUCAAUUAAUAUUCUUUCCUUCUUAAAUUACCCAUAUCUUGGAUAUGUCUUUAUUAGCAGUGUGAGAACGAACAAAUACACACGGUUUAUGAAAAAAAAAAUGGAGAAGAGAUUUAAAAUAAUAGUCUUUCUCUAUACCUUC